CUCGUCCUUUCCGAGGUCCUCUGCCGCGUGUUUGGAAGUUAUGGCCGCGCGGGUCUGUGGUGUUCUCCCUGAAAGGCCUAAGCUUUGGGUGAUGGUAAGUUGUGGAAAAGGGAAGAUGAGGUUUUUCCUACACAUACCGUCGACACGCUUGCUCUCUCCGGAGGUGACGUGUCGACGAUCAGCCCUUUCCUUUGCUAUUGUGGGCCUUAGGAGGUCUGAGAUGCUGUCUAAGGAAAUGCUCCCCAGACUGCGAGACGUUUGAUGCGGACGGGAUGAAGCCCUUUUUGGUCUUCGAUCUCCCUUCUCUUGGGGCGGGGAGCGGUCUUCUCUCUGUGACCCAAAGCCAGCCAUGUGCUCAGCUCUGUCUUCCCUGGGGUCUCCAUUGAGGGUGGUGGCCUUAAGUGAACACGAGUGACUCCUGCUAACUACAGAUUGUCAUGAACGGGAUUGAAAACUGAAAGCCGUUAGCUCUAACGCGGCAUAACUUCUCCUUCCCCGAAGGCAUUGCCUUUUGGCACUCGGGAGACAAGAUGCAGGUUCCGUCUCAGAAGUAAUGGCUGGAUCCCUGAAAGCCAACGGGCUCGGUGUGGUCCACCCGUCAGAAGGCAUAGGUAGAUGGUGGGCAUCUGCCUCAGACAUAGUUCUCAAGUUCAGCCAGAAGAAUGCGCGUUGAGCCCUCUGCAGCCCGUGUCGACGGAGGUGUUGUCUCCAGGAAGCAUCAUGGAAAGGCGUGGUGGUGCACAAGGGCCUUCAGGAUGCCUGCGCCUGGUGACGGCUGCGCCUCAGGUUCUGGGCCUGACUCGGAAGGGUGCCUGUGAGCAGAAGAGCUGGCACGCGCAGCUCAGUGGACCAUCAGUGCCAACCCGUCCUGUACCCUGGCUGAGGGGUGUGCUAAGUGGCAGAUUCCCGGUUGGCUCAUCGUAAGGCGUGGCACAAAAUCACCAUCGAAAGAAAGGGCCUUCGGGAUGCCUCUAUCUGGUUAUUGCCCUGUAGUGCCAGAGAGAACCACAUAGCCUGCUGCUGCUCCUGCCUUUAAUUUCCCAAAGAGUCAUCAGACGACCUUGGAGUUUGUUCUGCAAGAGGAGCCAGUAAGGCCUCGUGACUGUGGUCACCCUCGGAAGCCUUUGACAGCUAGCUGGUGAGGGCGCUCAGUCGGAGGCCCUGGGGAGGCCCCUGCUAAGCCGAGAAAAGCAUUUCUCACAGUGGAUUUCCUGGAAGUCAGGGUUGGCCUUUGUAUUUUGAAGCACAAAUAAACUUUAUAAAAUUUAA
rnacentral:lncRNA from 1 species